GGAAUAUUGCACAAUGGGCGAAAGCCUGAUGCAGCAACGCCGCGUGGGGGAUGACGGCCUUCGGGUUGUAAACCUCUUUUAGUAGGGAAGAAGGACUUCGGUUUGACGGUACCUGCAGAAAAAGCACCGGCUAACUACGUGCCAGCAGCCGCGGUAAUACGUAGGGUGCAAGCGUUGUCCGGAAUUAUUGGGCGUAAAGAGCUCGUAGGCGGUUUGUCGCGUCUGCUGUGAAAACCCGAGGCUCAACCUCGGGCCUGCAGUGGGUACGGGCAGACUAGAGUGCGGUAGGGGAGAAUGGAAUUCCUGGUGUAGCGGUGGAAUGCGCAGAUAUCAGGAGGAACACCGAUGGCGAAGGCAGUUCUCUGGGCCGGCACUGACACUGAGAGACGAAAGCUAGGGGAGCGAAUGGGAUUAGAUACCCUUG
rnacentral:rRNA from 1 species